AUGGAGAUCGGGUCUCUGGCGCCGGGUGAGAGGCCGCACGCCGUGAUGAUCCCGUACCCGGCGCAGGGCCACAUCACGCCGAUGCUGAAGCUGGCCAAGCUGCUCCACGCCAGGGGCUUCCAUGUCACCUUCGUCAACAACGAGUUCAACCACCGCCGGCUGCUCCGCUCCCAGUCCGCCGACACGCUACGUGGCCUGCCCGCGUUCCAGUUCACCGCCAUCGCCGACGGCCUUCCGCCGUCCGACCGUGAGGCCACGCAGGACAUCGCUGAGUUGUGCUACUCUACAAUGACCACCUGCCUCCCCAGGUUCAAGGAGCUCGUCGUCAAGCUCAACGAGGAGGCCGAGACCUCCGACGGCGCACUGCCGCCUGUCACCUGCGUGGUGGCCGAUAGCACCAUGAGCUUCGCUCUUGCCGCCGCGCGGGAACUCGGCCUCCGCUGCGCCACACUCUGGACCGCCAGCGCCUGUGGUUUCAUGAGCUACUGCCACUACAAGGAUCUACUCGAUCGUGGGCUCUUCCCUCUCAAAGAAGAGGCACAGUUGAGCAACGGAUACUUGGACACGAUCAUAGACUGGAUACCGUCCAUGCCCAAAGACCUGCGGCUGCGUGACCUCCCUAGCUUCAUGCGCACCACGGACCCCGAUGACAUCAUGUUCAACUUCUUCGUCCACGAGACGGCCGCCAUGUCGCAGGCGUCGGGGGUGGUGAUCAACACCUGGGACGAGCUCGACGCGCCCCUGCUCGAUGCCAUGUCCAAGCUCCUGCCCUCCGUCUACACAGUGGGGCCACUCCAUCUCACGGUCCGCAACAAUGUCUCGAAGGAGAGCCCCCUCGCCGACACCGGGUCCAACCUGUGGAAGGAGCAGGACGCGCCCCUCCGGUGGCUCGACGGCCAACCGCCGCACUCCGUGUUGUAUGUAAAUUUUGGGAGCAUCACGGUGAUGUCCAAGGAGCAUUUGUUGGAGUUCGCGUGGGGGUUGGCCAACACCGGCUACGCCUUCCUGUGGAACGUGCGGCCAGACCUCGUCAAGGGCGACGACGAGGCCGCACUACCGCCAGAGUUUUUCGCGGCGACCGAGGGUCGGAGCAUGCUCUCGACGUGGUGCCCGCAGGAGAAGGUGCUGGAGCACGAGGCCGUAGGGAUCUUCCUCACGCACUCUGGGUGGAACUCGUCGCUGGAGGGCAUAUGCGGCGGCAUUCCGAUGGUGUGUUGGCCCUUCUUUGCUGAGCAGCAGACCAACUGCCGCUACAAGUGCACGGAGUGGGGCAUCGGGAUGGAGAUUGGGGAAGACGUGAGAAGGACCGAGGUGGAGGCCAUGAUACGGGAGGCCAUGGAGGGGGCGAAGGGGCGAGAGAUGCGACGGCGUGUGCAAGAGCUCCGGGAUAGCGCCCUGGCCUCCGCACGGUGUGACGGAAGGUCCAUGCGCAAUGUUGAUAGGCUCAUCCAUGAGGUGCUUCUGGCUUGA
rnacentral:rRNA from 1 species